AAACAAAAAAAACAAAAAAAACAAAAAAACGAAAACACACACACAAAAAAAGAAUUUACAACAUAAGCAGUAUCAGUAGUUUUCCAUAGCUGUUAGAGUGGCUUCUCUACUAAUACUGAUCAAAGGAUGGUUCUUGCCUCUUGUAGUCCUAUGCAGCAAAAAUAACUCGUUUCUUUUCUAGGUGAAGAACAACCCUGCUGCAUUGCCAGAUUCUCUCUCCUUUUCUUUGAUGGGAGAAAUAUCAAAGUGAGGAGGAAGCAGCUCUUGGUUGGGGAAAGCAUGUCAGAAAAGCUGUUUCUUACAGAGAAGCAUAGGCAGCACAUCCAAGUGAAAUGGCCAACGAGAGUGGUGACGAAGAGGAACGGGUGCCAGAGCAAGAGCUAGAACGGGAGUAUACACCUGCUGGACGCGCUCUAAAGCAAUACCUCAAAGCAGAGAGGCCUCCCACAAGUCUGCAGAGCAAAGAACUGCUGAGAAAUUGCUACAAUAUUGUCCCAGUCAGCUAGCCGGGUCCCAGAUGAUGGUGGUGCAAGUAAUGCACUUGCACCGAGGAAGGCCAGCCAAUCUUCCAUACUGAGCCUAUUUUUCCUACCGACCAGCACCCCAUCUGACGUUUCAGAGAGAAAUUCAUGGCAAUAACAUCAUAUUUAUGGACAACCGGAGUAUCUCUCUCCUCAGACCAGAGGGCCGAUAGGAUCUGCUAAAGUGGACCUUGCAGAGAGUCCCAAGACUCUUACCUGUGACGGGUGUCUCUGCCAGGGGCAAGAAAAUAUCCAGUA